UUUCCUCAUUUCUUUCUUUUCCUCCCGUAGCUCUCUCUGUUCUCACUUUUCUUUCCAUUUUGCUUCUUCCCUUCCAUAAUCAACCAAUUCCACACACUAAUCAAACACCCAUAAGAGAAAAAUUAUUCACCAAAGCAAAACAAUUUCACAUUAGAAGUUAAUUUAGGUUUGAUUUUGGAGAUUGGGGUUAGGGUUCUGAGAAGAAAAAUACCCAUUUUAUGAAGGUUGCUCAUUGAGACUCUUUAAGAUACGAUGCCAGACGCUUCACAUGCUUCUCCCAGGAUGGUUGGAGAGCACGCUUAGUUGAUUCGUCGUAACAAUUCCCGAGCAGCUGAGUAGGAAGCUUCAAGUAGAUCCGAAGUCCAUCAUUUCCACUUUUUGGUAGGUCUCCUUGAUGGAUGGCUCUUUUAUUUAUGUAAAUAUUCAUUCAAUGUAUCUGCAGCUAUAUGGAGUUAGAGUGCCUCGUUUUGAGUUGUACAGUUAUGUAAAAAUUGUCUUUUUGAUCUUCUGGAUGAUGGAACAGGUUUAUGGACAGGAUUCAUAUCUUGGAAACGUUAAAAAUACAGAGGAUACUCUGUCCAUUUCUGUAAAUAUUAUUUUAAUGAAAAAUGGUUAUCUGUAAAUUAUUUAUGUCAUUUGUCGAGUUUGGUCGUUAGACUUGCCAGAAAAUGUAUA